rnacentral:rRNA from 1 species
GACGAACGCUGGCGGCGUGCUUAACAUAUGCAAGUCGAACGGAAAGGCCCUGCUUUUGUGGGGUGCUCGAGUGGCGAACGGGUGAGUAACACGUGAGUAACCUGCCCUUGACUUUGGGAUAACUUCAGGAAACUGGGGCUAAUACCGGAUAGGAGCUCCUGCUGCAUGGUGGGGUUUGGAAAGUUUCGGCGGUUGGGGAUGGACUCGCGGCUUAUCAGCUUGUUGGUGGGGUAGUGGCUUACCAAGGCUUUGACGGGUAGCCGGCCUGAGAGGGUGACCGGCCACAUUGGGAAUGAGAUACGGCCCAGACUCCUACGGGAGGCAGAAGUGGGGAAUAUUGCACAAUGGGCGGAAGCAUGAUGCAGCAACGCCGCGUGCGGGAUGACGGCCUUCGGGUUGUAAACCGCUUUCGCCUGUGACGAAGCGUGAGUGACGGUAAUGGGUAAAGAAGCACCGGCUAACUACGU